rnacentral:tRNA from 1 species
UGUCCCAUGGUGUAAUGGUAGCACUUCAGUUUUUGGUACUGUCAGUCAAGGUUCGAAUCCUUGUGGGAUAA